CACGGAUAACAUACCGAAAGGUAUGCUAAUACGGGAUAAUAUAUUUGAGAGGCAUCUCUUGAAUAUCAAAGGUGAGCCAGUACAGGAUGGACCCGCGUCUGAUUAGCUAGUUGGUAAGGUAACGGCUUACCAAGGCGACGAUCAGUAGCCGACCUGAGAGGGUGAUCGGCCACAUUGGAACUGAGACACGGUCCAAACUCCUACGGGAGGCAGCAGUGGGGAAUAUUGCACAAUGGGCGAAAGCCUGAUGCAGCAACGCCGCGUGAGUGAUGAAGGCCUUCGGGUCGUAAAACUCUGUCCUCAAGGAAGAUAAUGACGGUACUUGAGGAGGAAGCCCCGGCUAACUACGUGCCAGCAGCCGCGGUAAUACGUAGGGGGCUAGCGUUAUCCGGAUUUACUGGGCGUAAAGGGUGCGUAGGCGGUCUUUCAAGUCAGGAGUGAAAGGCUACGGCUCAACCGUAGUAAGCUCUUGAAACUGGGAGACUUGAGUGCAGGAGAGGAGAGUGGAAUUCCUAGUGUAGCGGUGAAAUGCGUAGAUAUUAGGAGGAACACCAGUUGCGAAGGCGGCUCUCUGGACUGUAACUGACGCUGAGGCACGAAAGCGUGGGGAGCAAACAGGAUUAGAUACCCUGGUAGUCCACGCUGUAAACGAUGAAUACUAGGUGUCGGGGGUUACCCCCUUCGGUGCCGCAGCUAACG
rnacentral:rRNA from 1 species